rnacentral:rRNA from 1 species
AUUGAACGCUGGCGGCAGGCCUAACACAUGCAAGUCGAACGAGUGGCGGACGGGUGAGUAAUGUCUGGGAAACUUCCUGAUGGAGGGGGAUAACUACUGGAAACGGUAGCUAAUACCGCAUACCAUCAGAUGUGCCCAGAUGGGAUUAGCUAGUUGGUGGGGUAACGGCUCACCAAGGCGACGAUCCCUAGCUGGUCUGAGAGGAUGACCAGCCACGCUGGAACUGGAGCACGGUCCAGAGUCCUACGGGAGGCAGCAGUGGGGAAUAUUGCACAAUGGGAGCAAGCCUGAUGCAGCCAUGCCGCGUGAAUGAAGACGGCCUUCGGGUUGUAAAGUACUUUCAGCGGGGAGGCGUUACCCACAGAAGAAGCACCGGCUAGCUCCGUGCCAGCAGCCGCGGUAAUUC